GGCGCCAUCGUCUAGCCUGGUCCAGGACAUCGCCCUCUCAAGGCGGCGACACGGGUUCAAAUCCCGUUGGCGCUA
rnacentral:tRNA from 1 species